AUUGAACGCUGGCGGCAGGCCUAACACAUGCAAGUCGAGCGAGCGGCGGACGGGUGAGUAAUGUAUGGGGAUCUGCACGAUGGUGGGGGAUAACUACUGGAAACGGUGGCUAAUACCGCAUACUAUCGGAUGAACCCAUAUGGCAGUAGCGAGUAGUUGGGGUAAAGGCUCACCUAGACGAAGAUCUCUAGCUGGUCUGAGAGGAGGAUCAGCCACACGGUGACUGAGACACGUCCCAGACUCCUACGGGAGGAAGCAGUGGGGAAUAUUGCACAAUGGGCGCAAGCCUGAUUCAGCCAUGCCGCGUGGAUGAAGAAGGCCUCAGGGUUGUAAAGUACUUUCAGCGGGGAGGCGUUACCCGCAGAAGAAGCACCGGCUAACUCCGUGCCAGCAGCCGCGGUAAUAC
rnacentral:rRNA from 1 species